UGACAACAUGUUUAGUAUUUUUCCAAGGGUUUAGGGGUUUACCCAAGGAUUUAGGGUUUACCCAAGGAUUUAGGGUUUACCCAAAGAUUUAGAGUUUAGGGUUUAGUAUUAGAGUUUAGGGUUUAGUGUUUUGUUGACAACAUUUUUUUUUUUGAAUUCAUUUUUUAUAUAUUAUUUUUAUUUAUUUUUAAAUUUUAUUUUGAAAA
rnacentral:lncRNA from 1 species